AUGAGGAGCACAGCUUCAAGAUGCAGAUGGAGCCCAAGAUCUCAGAUGGGAACCACAAGCUGCUGUUGUCAUGGUUUCAGGUAUCCUGGAGACACAAUACUGGAUGCUAAUUGGUGGAAAGAAGCAGAGAGCGAAUCGUUUAUUGGAAACAAUCAGCAGAGGAGUCUGGUGCACGCGCCUCGUCCCUGCGUCCGUCCGUCUCAUCGUCCGUCCGUCUCAUCGUCCGUCUCAUCAUCCGUCUCAUCAUCCGUCUCAUCAUCCGUCUCAUCGUCCGUCUCAUCAUCCGUCUCAUCAUCCGUCUCAUCAUCCGUCUCAUCGUCCGUCCGUCUCAUCGUCCGUCUCAUCGUCCGCCCGUCUCCACCUCGUUUGGAGUUUCUCAAGGUCAUGUGGAGGGUGAUGGUCACAUGACUUCUCAAUGCGCCACUGAUGUAAUGUUUAUACUGUAAGUCCAAUGAGAGGGUUGUCUCUCGGUCCCACCUGCCUCCGGGGCGCGUCCUCCCUCAGAUCACAAUCAGUAUCAUCGCCCAACUUUCCAAAACAAUCCAUUCAUCAUGAUCGUUUCAUUCGCCACAUCAGAGACGUCGCACACGUCACACACAGAAGCCUCAGCUGUUUUAUCCCCGUAGCCUGUCAGUGGCAUUAAUCAUGCAGUCGGCAUCUGGUCGCCUAGAUUUAAACAGGAUUUUAUCCAAACUGCCUUGGCACAUGCAGAGAAUUUAAAUUUAGAUGUUGAACAGCAGCAGUAGGUAGCUUUUAAAUCCAAAUGGACUAAACAGCCAGAGGUCCAGUAAUGAAGACUUUGACUGGUGCCGUGUGAAGACUCACAGGAGCCGCUGAGCCUUAUGUUACUUUGGACUAAGCUCCUGUAUUGUGUUGCCUGCAUUUACUGUAGCCUGUCAUCACUUCACAACAUCACAACAACAUAAACUUGCUGUCAUCGCUGGAGACACGCAUGUGGUUGGGUUCAGUUAAGUGAUGGAAGGCGCCCAGACGUCAAAUCCACCUUCAAAACAAGUCAUUUCCGCGCGACUCUGACUCACUUACAGCCCAGCGUCGGCUCAGUUUGUCUGUAAAUGGAGUCGAUGGAGCAAAUGCCACAACAAGCAGACAUCCUGAUCAAUGAAAUGUUAAUGUGGAAAACGCUCCACCAGAUGCGUAUGCGCUAAAACAGGCUCAGUGUGAAGGAGCCUUGAAACCCGAUGAGGUGGAGUCAGGCAGGUGUGAAGUGCACGGAGCAGAACCGCAUCAUGUUCCACAGCAACACAGGACUUUAGACGUCGACCUGAAAUUAGACUGAAACUGAUGACUGUGAGCCUUUCAUUGUGAGGAUGCAGCCGAUGCCUGCUUUUCAUCGGCGUGUGCGUAAACAGAGCUUGUUCAUUAUGCAGUGAGCGCUCCCAAACAGCAGAAUGAUGACAUGGGCCGAUGUUGCAUGAACAGAGACAACCACAGCGCGGCAGCUGGGUUCUGCUCGGCUCAGUUCAAUCCGCUUCUUAAUAAAGAACGUGUCAAGAGUGGAGGCA
rnacentral:lncRNA from 1 species